UGGUAGUGUAUUGGACAACCAUGGCAGUCACGGGUAACGGGGAAUUAGGGUUCGAUUCCGGAGAGGGAGCCUGAGAAACGGCUACCACUUCUAAGGAAGGCAGCAGGCGCGUAAAUUACCCAAUCCCAAUUCGGGGAGGUAGUGACAAGAAAUAACAACCUGGGGGGCUCUGCCCUUACGGGAUUGUAAUGGGAACAAUGUAAAAACUUUAUCGAGGAACAAUUGGAGGGCAAGUCUGGUGCCAGCAGCCGCGGUAAUUCCAGCUCCAAUAGCGUAUAUUAAAGUUGUUGCAGUUAAAAAGCUCGUAGUUGAAUUUCUGCACGUGCCCGGUUGUGGCUUCGGUCAGGCCGUGGCGCGUGCAUCCGUCUGCAAACCUAGACCGGCCUUCAUUGGUCGACUAGGGGAGUAGACCUUUUACCUUGAAAAAAUUAGAGUGUUUCUAGCAGGCAAUUGCUUGAAUACAUUAGCAUGGAAUAAUAGAAUAGGACUUUUGUCCAUUUCGUUGGUUAUUGGACAUUAGUAAUGAUUAAAAGGGACAGUUGGGGGCAUUAGUAUUUAAUUGUCAGAGGUGAAAUUCUUGGAUUUAUUAAAGACUAACUUAUGCGAAAGCAUUUGCCAAGGAUGU
rnacentral:rRNA from 1 species